rnacentral:rRNA from 1 species
UACGAAGGGGGCUAGCGUUGCUCGGAAUCACUGGGCGUAAAGGGUGCGUAGGCGGGGCUUUAAGUCAGGGGUGAAAUCCUGGAGCUCAACUCCAGAACUGCCUUUGAUACUGAGGAUCUUGAGUUCGGGAGAGGUGAGUGGAACUGCGAGUGUAGAGGUGAAAUUCGUAGAUAUUCGCAAGAACACCAGUGGCGAAGGCGGCUCACUGGUCCGGUUCUGACGCUGAGGCGCGAAAGCGUGGGGAGCAAACAGG